GCAUAGCGACGGUGUACUCUAACACCCUUCACGUCGACCAGGCGACUGCCUCACAGACGUCCAUGCCACUGCUCGGAUGGACAGUGUCGGCCAUCGAUAAAUCCGACAACAUCGACAAAGCCAACGUCUUCAAACUUCAGUGUAAGAAGAAGAUAUACUAUUUCCAGACGGAGAACAAGGAAAAGAUGGACAAGUGGAAGUCCGUGCUAGACAAGGCAACAAAGGCUCACACACCGGACACUACUAGUUGAUGAACUGUCGUUGUUAUGAAUACUGCACUGUUGUUGUCGCAGACCUGACUGGAAACGGGUGUACCGUGUCGUUCCCCAGUGCUCGACUAUUGUAAAUAUUAACGUAUAGCAACCGAACAACCUUUUUUUAAAGAAAUCUUUAAUCGCUUUAGUGUAAUUGAAUAUUUUGGAAGAAAAAAAAUACAAUUACUUCUUUCUUGAACAUAUAUGCUCAUAUUAGAUAGUGUGAGAUGGAUGGAAAAAACUUUAGCUCGUUAUAAUUUUGAAUUAUAAUUAUUUUUCGUCAGCAUUCUAAUCGAUGUAGCUGUGGCAGUGUAAAAUCGCUAGUUAAUUGGUAAUAGGGGGAACGCAAAAUUUAAAUCACGGCUUAUAGUGACGUACGUAGUAUUCGCCAUAAAUCACGAAUAUUUAUAUGAUAAGUGAGAUUAAUCGAGUUAGUAAAGUAUAGCCUUCUUGCAUAUGUGGGCGUGUGUGGAAAUUCUUGCGCCAUGCAAAUACUUUAUUCUUAGCGACGUCCCCAUGAAUGAUGAUGUAGGGAUAAUCUUUUUACGGUUCCGCUCACCUUUAGUGCUGAAUCCCACGUAAACAUUUAUAUGCAAAACCACCAUAUAAUAUAAUAGAAAUUUUAUAUAUAAUCUGAAGUUCA